rnacentral:sRNA from 1 species
AUUCAUAAAACUUAGAAAUCAUUAUAAACUUAGCAAAUGAUAGAUCUCAAUAAGAUAAACAAGUUUGCAGAAGAAAUCAAAUCCAAAUUCUUAACACAACAACCAGAAUAUGCAAAAGAGAAUCUAAGAACCCUAAUAUCCUGCAGACAAAGCAAAGAUAUUUUGGGCAAAAACAUAAGAGGUUUAUUUAUAGGCAAUCCUAGGUUGCCCUAAUUGGGAAUAAGACAAAAUAAGAAAGUCGGCGCUGCAUCACUCGGGUUUUGGCGGAGUAGAAAAGUCGAGUGGCUUCCUCUUGGUCACAUCACUCGAGUCUUAGCCGAGUGGCUUGGUCGAGCAGCUUCUCUUCUUCCUUAAGUGCAGUACUCGGCCUCCAGCCGAGUGCCUUGGUCGAGUAGACUCCUUGUUCUUCACGUGUGCUCCACUCGGCCUCCAGCCGAGUAUAUAAGCCGAGUAUACUUCAAGUCCUUCCUUAGAUCCCACGAACUCGAGUCUGUCCAUCCCUUGUGCUAGAAACCUCCAAGUUGAGUCCAAAAGUACCUGAUUCACCUGUAAAACACUCCAAAUGCAAGUAUGUUAUGCAAUGCAAUGCAAAAUGUGCAAAGGAAGGAAAAUAGACUAAGAAUGCAUGAAAAGAGACAUGAAACUAAGCUAAAUGCAUGAAAAAUAAGGGCUUAAAAAGGUUAAAAUCUAGUGUUAUCAACACUCCCAAACUUAGCUCUUUGCUUGUCCUCAAGCAACAAUAGAACUAGGCUAGGAGUGAGGCCUUCGGGGAUUCAGAACCAAAAUAUGCAUGUAAAAU